rnacentral:rRNA from 1 species
GACGAACGCUGGCGGCGUGCUUAACACAUGCAAGUCGAGCGGUAAGGCCCUUUCGGGGGUACGACGAGCGGCGAACGGGUGAGUAACACGUGGGUGACCUGCCCUCAGCUCUGGGAUAAGCCUGGGAAACCGGGUCUAAUACCGGAUAUGACUCCAUGACGCAUGUUGUGGGGUGGAAAGCCUUGUGCGGCUGAGGAUGGGCCCGCGGCCUAUCAGCUUGUUGGUGGGGUGAUGGCCUACCAAGGCGACGACGGGUAGCCGGCCUGAGAGGGCGACCGGCCACACUGGGACUGAGACACGGCCCAGACUCCUACGGGAGGCAGCAGUGGGGAAUCUUGCGCAAUGGGCGAAAGCCUGACGCAGCGACGCCGCGUGAGGGAUGACGGCCUGGUUGUAAC